UACGUAGGGGGCAAGCGUUGUCCGGAAUUAUUGGGCGUAAAGAGCGCGUAGGCGGUCCGAUAAGUCGGCUGUGAAAGUCAAGGGCUCAACCCUUGAAAGCCGGCCGAUACUGUCGGACUAGAGUCCGGAAGAGGCAAGUGGAAUUCCCGGUGUAGCGGUGAAAUGCGUAGAUAUCUGGAGGAACACCGGUGGCGAAGGCGGCAUCCUGGACCAACACUGACGCUGAUGAGCGAAAGCCAGGGGAGCAAACGGG
rnacentral:rRNA from 1 species